rnacentral:misc_RNA from 1 species
CAAAUCAUUGGGGGCCCUUGGGCCUCUGUAAGCACGGCCGCUUUACGGCGGCUGAUGUUGACGCUUGUUCAGUUUGACAUAGUAAUGUAGCAUUAUAAAUAUAUA